rnacentral:tRNA from 1 species
GGGGUUCCCGAGCGGCCAAAGGGAGCAGACUGUAAAUCUGCCGUCAUCGACUUCGAAGGUUCGAAUCCUUCCCCC